CCCUUAGAUGUUCUGGGCCGCACGCGUGCUACACUGAGUGGAUCAGCGGGUCAGGUUGCGCGAAAGUGUUUCCUAAUCUUGAAAUCCGCUCGUGAUGGGGAUUGACGGUUGCAAUUUUCUGUCAUGAACGAGGAAUACCUUGUAAGCGCGGGUCAUCAUCCCGCGCUGAAUACGUCCCUGCCCUUUGUACACACCGCCCGUCGCUCCUACCGAUUGAGUGGUCCGGUGAGGCUUUGGGAUCUGGAUGGAAAGAGCGUUUCGCUGUUUCUGCCCGGAAAACUCAGUCGAACCUUAUCAUUUAGAGGAAGGAGAAGUCGUGACA
rnacentral:rRNA from 1 species